rnacentral:rRNA from 1 species
ACAUCCAGAGAUUUAGCAGAGAUGCUUUAGUGCCUUCGGGAACUCUGAGACAGGUGCUGCAUGGCUGUCGUCAGCUCGUGUUGUGAAAUGUUGGGUUAAGUCCCGNAACGAGCGCAACCCUUAUCCUUUGUUGCCAGCACGUAAUGGUGGGAACUCAAAGGAGACUGCCGGUGAUAAACCGGAGGAAGGUGGGGAUGACGUCAAGUCAUCAUGGCCCUUACGAGUAGGGCUACACACGUGCUACAAUGGCGCAUACAAAGAGAAGCGACCUCGCGAGAGCAAGCGGACCUCAUAAAGUGCGUCGUAGUCCGGAUUGGAGUCUGCAACUCGACUCCAUGAAGUCGGAAUCGCUAGUAAUCGUAAAUCAGAAUGUUACGGUGAAUACGUUCCCGGGCCUUGUACACACCGCCCGUCACACCAUGGGAGUGGGUUGCAAAAGAAGUAGAUAGCUUAACCUUCGGGAGGGCGUUUACCACUUUGUGAUUCAUGACUGGGGUGAAGUCGUAACAAGGUAAGCGUAGUGCU